rnacentral:rRNA from 1 species
GUAAACGAUGUCUACUUGGAGGUUGUGCCCUUGAGGCGUGGCUUCCGGAGCUAACGCGUUAAGUAGACCGCCUGGGGAGUACGGCCGCAAGGUUAAAACUCAAAUGAAUUGACGGGGGCCCGCACAAGCGGUGGAGCAUGUGGUUUAAUUCGAUGCAACGCGAAGAACCUUACCUGGUCUUGACAUCCACGGAAGUUUUCAGAGAUGAGAAUGUGCCUUCGGGAACCGUGAGACAGGUGCUGCAUGGCUGUCGUCAGCUCGUGUUGUGAAAUGUUGGGUUAAGUCCCGCAACGAGCGCAACCCUUAUCCUUUGUUGCCAGCGGUUAGGCCGGGAACUCAAAGGAGACUGCCAGUGAUAAACUGGAGGAAGGUGGGGAUGACGUCAAGUCAUCAUGGCCCUUACGACCAGGGCUACACACGUGCUACAAUGGCGCAUACAAAGAGAAGCGACCUCGCGAGAGCAAGCGGACCUCAUAAAGUGCGUCGUAGUCCGGAUUGGAGUCUGCAACUCGACUCCAUGAAGUCGGAAUCGCUAGUAAUCGUGGAUCAGAAUGCCACGGUGAAUACGUUCCCGGGCCUUGUACACACCGCCCGUCACACCAUGGGAGUGGGUUGCAAAAGAAGUAGGUAGCUUAACCUUCGGGAGGGCGCUUACCACUUUGUGAUUCAUGACUGGGGUGAAGUCGUAACAAGGUAACCGUAGGGGAACCUGC